UACGUAGGGUGCAAGCGUUGUCCGGAAUUAUUGGGCGUAAAGAGCUCGUAGGCGGUUUGUCGCGUCUGCUGUGAAAACCCGAGGCUCAACCUCGGGCCUGCAGUGGGUACGGGCAGACUAGAGUGCUGUAGGGGAGACUGGAAUUCCUGGUGUAGCGGUGAAAUGCGCAGAUAUCAGGAGGAACACCGGUGGCGAAGGCGGGUCGCUGGGCAGUGGCUGACGCUGAGGCGCGACAGCGUGGGGAGCAAACAGG
rnacentral:rRNA from 1 species